AUGAUAUAAUAUAUAUAAUAUUAUUUCAUACAUUAUAUAUUAAAUUAUAUAUCAUACAUUAUAUAUGAAAUAAUCAUUGUUAUUUCAUACAGUUCAUUGUCACAUGGAACUAAAAUAAUGCAACAUUAGCAAUCAUACAUAACGUGUGCUAAAUUUCUGGUGUUAUUUACAAAAAAAAAAGGCAAAGCUCUUAACUCUGACUAUUGGUUGAUAAGUGUGCAUGUUGAAAUUUCUUUUUUUAAUUUUUUUUUUGUAGUUGUAGAUGGAUAGCAUGCCUUUAUUUUAUUUAUUUUUGUAUGUAGUGCUAAGGAUCGAACCCAGUGCCUCACACAUGCUGGCAAGUCCUCUGCCACUGAGCCACAGCCCCAGACCACAAGUUGAAAUUUCUCAGGUAACCAUUUGAGAACUACAGGAGAGCAUAUCACUUCCAAGUUAAAAGGAGGAGAAAAGUAGAAUCCAAUCAUCAUCAUCAUCAUCAUCAUCAUCAUCCAAGGGAAGGAAAGGAGAGGAAAAGAAAUAUUUAAAAGGACAUAUAGAAAGCACCAUAUAAAAUGGUAGACAAAUACAUCUGAAAAUUACAAAAUAAGUAAAUGGACUAAAUGUUCCAGUUAAAUAAAACCAAGAUUAUCUGAACAUAGUUUUAAAUCCUUAAUAGCUUUAUUGAUGUCCAAUUUACACAUCAUUAAUUCACCCACUUUAAGAAUACAGUUGAAGGAGUUUUAGUAAAUUUAUAGAGUCAUCCAAACAUCACCAUAAUCCAGUAUUGGAAUACAUUCAUCACUCCAAAAAAUUCCUUUGUACCCAUUUGUAAUCAAUCCCCAUUCACGUCUCCAUCUCUUAACAAACAAUGAUCCAGCUACAGUUUUGUCUUUUCUGGACAAUUCAUAUAAAUGAAAUCAUAUAAUAGAUAGUCAUAGGUAUCUGGCUUCUUUUUUUCUUUUUUUAUUGAUUUAUUUAUAUAUGACAGUGGAAUGCAUUACAAUGCAUAUUACAUAUAUAAAACACAUUUUUUCAUCUCUGGUUGUAUAUAAAGUAUAUUCACACCAAUUCGUGUCUUCAUACUUGUACUUUGGAUAAUGAUGUUCAUCAUAUUCCACCAUCAUUUCUAAUUCCCUGCCCCCUCCCUUCCCCUUCCACCCCUUUGCCCUAUCUAGAGUUCAUCUAUUCCUCCCAUGCUCCCCGUCCCUACCACACUAUGAAUCCGUC
rnacentral:lncRNA from 1 species